rnacentral:rRNA from 1 species
CCAGACUCCUACGGGAGGCAGCAGUGGGGGAUAUUGCACAAUGGGGGGAACCCUGAUGCAGCGGCGCCGCGUGGGUGAAGGAGUGCUUCGGCAUGUAAAGCCCUAUCGGCAGGGAAGAAACAGACGGUACCUCUUGAAUAAGCCACGGCUAACUACGUGCCAGCAGCCGCGGUAAUACGUAGGUGGCAAGCGUUUUCCGGAUUUACUGGGUGUAAAGGGCGUGUAGCCGGGUUGACAAGUCAGAUGUGAAAUCCUGCGGCUUAACCGCAGAACUGCAUUUGAAACUGUUGAUCUUGAGUACUGGAGAGGCAGACGGAAUUCCUAGUGUAGCGGUGAAAUGCGUAGAUAUUAGGAGGAACACCAGUGGCGAAGGCGGUCUGCUGGACAGCAACUGACGGCGAGGCGCGAAAGCGUGGGGAGCAAACAGGAUUAGAUACCCCUGUAC